GAUGAACGCUGGCGGCGUGCCUAAUACAUGCGAGUCGAGCGAACAGACGAGGAGCUUGCUCCUCUGAUGUUAGCGGCGGACGGGUGAGUAACACGUGGAUAACCUACCUAUAAGACUGGGAUAACUUCGGGAAACCGGAGCUAAUACCGGAUAACAUGUUGAACCGCAUGGUUCAACAGUGAAAGACGGUCUUGCUGUCACUUAUAGAUGGAUCCGCGCCGCAUUAGCUAGUUGGUAAGGUAACGGCUUACCAAGGCAACGAUGCGUAGCCGACCUGAGAGGGUGAUCGGCCACACUGGAACUGAGACACGGUCCAGACUCCUACGGGAGGCAGCAGUAGGGAAUCUUCCGCAAUGGGCGAAAGCCUGACGGAGCAACGCCGCGUGAGUGAAGAAGGUCUUCGGAUCGUAAAACUCUGUUAUUAGGGAAGAACAAAUGUGUAAGUAACUAUGCACGUCUUGACGGUACCUAACCAGAAAGCCACGGCUAACUACGUG
rnacentral:rRNA from 1 species